rnacentral:rRNA from 1 species
UACGGAAGGCAGCAGUGGGGAAUAUUGCACAAUGGGCGAAAGCCUGAUGCAGCUAUGCCGCGUGUAUGAAGAAGGCCUUAGGGUUGUAAAGUACUUUCAUCGGGGAGGAAAAACAAAACUAAUAAUUUUAUUUCUUGACGUUACCCGAAAAAGAAGCACCGGCUAACUCCGUGCCAGCAGCCGCGGUAAUACGGAGGGUGCUAGCGUUAAUCAGAAUUACUGGGCGUAAAGAGCACGUAGGUGGUUUUUUUAAGUCAGAUGUGAAAUCCCUGGGCUUAACCUAGGAACUGCAUUUUGAAACUGAAAUACUAGAGUAUCGUAGAGGGAGGUAGAAUUCUAGGUGUAGCGGUGAAAUGCGUAGAUAUCUGGAGGAAUACCUGUGGCGAAAGCGGCCUCCUAAACGAAUACUGACACUGAGGUGCGAAAGCGUGGGGAGCAAACAGGGAUUAGAU